rnacentral:misc_RNA from 1 species
GUGAGUCAUCGAAUCUUUGAACGCACUUUGCACCUCGUGGCUUUUGUCACAAGGUAUACUUGUUUGAGUAUCUAAAACAACCUCACUCCUCCUCUGGGAUGAAGUGGACCUGAAUUUCGAUGAAACGCUAUCAAAAUAGCGUAGAGUCGUUAUUUUAAAUAAGGAUUGACCUCUCUCUUUUUAUCCAAGAAGAGAGGGUGGGACGCCUUCGUUGGAGUCUUGACAGAGUCAUUGGGAUAACAUCUCAACAAUCGCCUGUCAAGUGCCUUUCUUGUAAUAGGGAAAGGAAAAAACGUUGGC